UUAAAUCUAUUAUCUUUUCCUUGUAUAUGUUCGAGAAUAUGGCUCGGACGUUUCUACCAUGCUACCGUAAAAGGCGUGACUACAAGGGACUUUGAUAUUUGC
rnacentral:ncRNA from 2 species